AUAAUGGGUCAGCGACUUAUAUUCUGUAGCAAGGUUAACCGAAUAGGGGAGCCGAAGGGAAACCGAGUCUUAACUGGGCGUUAAGUUGCAGGGUAUAGACCCGAAACCCGGUGAUCUAGCCAUGGGCAGGUUGAAGGUUGGGUAACACUAACUGGAGGACCGAACCGACUAAUGUUGAAAAAUUAGCGGAUGACUUGUGGCUGGGGGUGAAAGGCCAAUCAAACCGGGAGAUAGCUGGUUCUCCCCGAAAGCUAUUUAGGUAGCGCCUCGUGAAUUCAUCUCCGGGGGUAGAGCACUGUUUCGGCAAGGGGGUCAUCCCGACUUACCAACCCGAUGCAAACUGCGAAUACCGGAGAAUGUUAUCACGGGAGACACACGGCGGGUGCUAACGUCCGUCGUGAAGAGGGAAACAACCCAGACCGCCAGCUAAGGUCCCAAAGUCAUGGUUAAGUGGGAAACGAUGUGGGAAGGCCCAGACAGCCAGGAUGUUGGCUUAGAAGCAGCCAUCAUUUAAAGAAAGCGUAAUAGCUCACUGGUCGAGUCGGCCUGCGCGGAAGAUGUAACGGGGCUAAACCAUGCACCGAAGCUGCGGCAGCGACGCUGAUGCGUUGUUGGGUAGGGGAGCGUUCUGUAAGCCUGUGAAGGUGUGCUGUGAGGCAUGCUGGAGGUAUCAGAAGUGCGAAUGCUGACAUAAGUAACGAUAAAGCGGGUGAAAAGCCCGCUCGCCGGAAGACCAAGGGUUCCUGUCCAACGUUAAUCGGGGCAGGGUGAGUCGACCCCUAAGGCGAGGCCGAAAGGCGUAGUCGAUGGGAAACAGGUUAAUAUUCCUGUACUUGGUGUUACUGCGAAGGGGGGACGGAGAAGGCUAUGUUGGCCGGGCGACGGUUGUCCCGGUUUAAGCGUGUAGGCUGGUUUUCCAGGCAAAUCCGGAAAAUCAAGGCUGAGGCGUGAUGACGAGGCACUACGGUGCUGAAGCAACAAAUGCCCUGCUUCCAGGAAAAGCCUCUAAGCAUCAGGUAACAUCAAAUCGUACCCCAAACCGACACAGGUGGUCAGGUAGAGAAUACCAAGGCGCUUGAGAGAACUCGGGUGAAGGAACUAGGCAAAAUGGUGCCGUAACUUCGGGAGAAGGCACGCUGAUAUGUAGGUGAAGUCCCUCGCGGAUGGAGCUGAAAUCAGUCGAAGAUACCAGCUGGCUGCAACUGUUUAUUAAAAACACAGCACUGUGCAAACACGAAAGUGGACGUAUACGGUGUGACGCCUGCCCGGUGCCGGAAGGUUAAUUGAUGGGGUCAGCGCAAGCGAAGCUCUUGAUCGAAGCCCCGGUAAACGGCGGCCGUAACUAUAACGGUCCUAAGGUAGCGAAAUUCCUUGUCGGGUAAGUUCCGACCUGCACGAAUGGCGUAAUGAUGGCCAGGCUGUCUCCACCCGAGACUCAGUGAAAUUGAACUCGCUGUGAAGAUGCAGUGUACCCGCGGCAAGACGGAAAGACCCCGUGAACCUUUACUAUAGCUUGACACUGAACAUUGAGCCUUGAUGUGUAGGAUAGGUGGGAGGCUUUGAAGUGUGGACGCCAGUCUGCAUGGAGCCGGCCUUGAAAUACCACCCUUUAAUGUUUGAUGUUCUAACGUUGACCCGUUAUCCGGGUUGCGGACAGUGUCUGGUGGGUAGUUUGACUGGGGCGGUCUCCUCCUAAAGAGUAACGGAGGAGCACGAAGGUUGGCUAAUCCUGGUCGGACAUCAGGAGGUUAGUGCAAUGGCAUAAGCCAGCUUGACUGCGAGCGUGACGGCGCGAGCAGGUGCGAAAGCAGGUCAUAGUGAUCCGGUGGUUCUGAAUGGAAGGGCCAUCGCUCAACGGAUAAAAGGUACUCCGGGGAUAACAGGCUGAUACCGCCCAAGAGUUCAUAUCGACGGCGGUGUUUGGCACCUCGAUGUCGGCUCAUCACAUCCUGGGGCUGAAGUAGGUCCCAAGGGUAUGGCUGUUCGCCAUUUAAAGUGGUACGCGAGCUGGGUUUAGAACGUCGUGAGACAGUUCGGUCCCUAUCUGCCGUGGGCGCUGGAGAACUGAGGGGGGCUGCUCCUAGUACGAGAGGACCGGAGUGGACGCAUCACUGGUGUUCGGGUUGUCAUGCCAAUGGCACUGCCCGGUAGCUA
rnacentral:rRNA from 1 species